CAGUAUAGCACGCCAAGAGCAAGCGAGGGGGCCAGGAGUUGCCACGGGCGAUGGAAAAAAGAUGGGAGAGAUUCGGGUCAAGUUCUGGAAGGAAGAAGGUGAGGAAGUAGGAUGCGGACGUUCUAACAGGAGGGAAAGAGCCACGUGUGUAGCAGCCAGCUGUGGGGCUGAACCAGCGCAGGCAUGCUCAUUAGAAAGCCAUGCAACCCUGUUCCUGCACAACUCACUUCGAGCCCUUCUUCCUGCUCUCUUGGCGCUGCAGCUGAGGGUCACGUGGCAGCUGCUCCACCAGGGCUCUAUGAAUGACCGCUUGCUCCCAGCUCCCAAGAUGCUUCCAGGCUCUUCCUUCCUGGUUGUGGAUGCAGAGCUGGAAACCGGAGAUUCCCUCUGUUGUAAGUCCCCUUCCCUAGGAGCUGUCCUCACCGGAGCUUGACAGAGCCGAGCUUGAGUUCUGAGAGCAAGGUAGUAUGACACUAAGACACUAAGAAGAGAGAAGUGAAUUUCUUGUUACUUGCUCUUCCAUCUUUUCUGCACCUCAGCACUCAGUGGCCCUCAUUCUUGGUUUGUAUCUUGUAAGCACAUGGGGUCUGAGACUGGGCCAUCUGCAGGGUGGCUUGCCUUUGGUGCCCACUUAUUACUCAAGCCUUCAGAUGAAGAUGUUGAACUCUCAGCUCCUCCUUCACCAUGCCUGCCUGGAUGAUGCCAUGUUCCUGCCUUGAUGAUACUGGACUGAACCUCUGAACCUCUUCUGCGCCCUAACAAAUAGAGUGAGUGGGUAGAAGGGACUGUCUCUUCCAAAGGGCAGCUAAACACCCCACAGUGGGGACGCAGUCCCCUCUUUCUUGCUGAGAGAAGAGCCUGAAAUAGCCCCAGGGGCGGAGAAAGGUUGAGUCUGGAGGUCUUCUGACCACUAAGGUUAAAGAUUUUGAGGACUCCCGAAGCCUCUAGUAAGCCAGGUUAGCAGGUUUUAACUCAGGCCUGGGAACGACCGGAAGCCUAACUCUCCACUCUAGACUGCUGGUGUCCUUUGCACCCAACCUCACCAACCUGCUGAGCCGCAGGCUGGACCUUGAGCGUGCUGGGGAGGUGUGGCGCUCCUGCCAGGCUCCGUGGAGCAGGACACCCCCACCCCCACCCCCGCCAACCCCUGCGACAUCCAUAAAACGCUUCCCCCUCCAUCCCCACCCCCACCUCCAACACCCGCACACCUGGUCCCCACGUGGAGCUGGCCGUGGGAACCUGGGGGUAGUGAGCCACCAGGUGGGAACCCGAGGACUGCGCAGAACCUUUGCAGAAGCACAAGCCCAGCACCUCGCGGUGCCAGACUGUGCAGAGGACCCUUCUUUGUCACGUGGUUCCCAGACGCGGGUGCAAAUCUCUCUGAGGACUGCGUACGUGCCUCUCUGCGUGGGGGAGUGGGGAAUGCUGGGCUCAUCCUCUGGAACCCAGAAGGCCUAGCUUCUAGAACCGCUGCUGACAGGUGUCUGCGGAGGAGGCUCCCCAUCUGCUGGACCAACCGCCGGCUUCCUUCCUCUCCCCAGGACUGAGUCACUGGAGCAUCUAUCUGCACGCUGCGGUUUCGACUUUCCCCCAAGUGCAUAGCGAGAGUCCUGACGUUGCUACGGAAGUCAAGGAAAAGCCUUCUGCCUCCUCAGGCCUUCUUGCCCCUCAAAUUUCCUGUAUUUCUUCCCAUCUUACCUGUCCACGAGAUUUAGCUUAAUUAAAAAAUAGAUGUUGCCACAGGCAACCAAGCCAGAAUAAUAGCUAAUCUAGUUUAAUUUCUGAGGUCUGCACCUCUGACUGCGACAUCUCUGAUGGGGCUCUGUCCCCCAACACUGCCAUCCGGAGGCAUCGGACCACGACGUGAGAUUGGAUGAGGAUGAACUGCACAGCGUCGACCAGACGGAAUGUGGAAUUAGAGUGGAAAGCAAUAAUUCUGAGAAGUGGGAAGGCUUCGUGGGAGCAGGCAGCGGUACCGUAAAAAGAAGAAAAGAAAUCCUGCAUAAAAAGAAAUGCGUAGAAAUCUUGUUCCGGUCAGUGGGGAUGAAGAGCAACCUCUCGCCUUGUGGUUCUGUCCAUGCUUGGCAGACGGAAGCAGGAGCCAGAGACUCUGCUCAGCCUGCAGACCGUGGCCUGAGCUGCUCUGCUGAGUCACUGUCUGACAGUGACAGGGCACAAAGUGUACCACAGGACUGCAAACUGCUUUAUGCUGUAGGAAGGAUAAAUAUCACGGAAGGCACUCUUUCUUAAAAAUAGAAAAUUCUCUCCUCUACUCCCUGCUUUUGUGUGUGUGUGUGUGUGUGUGUGAGGGGAGAGAGAGAGAGAGUCUCACCACAUGGCUAGGCUUGUCUUAAACUUGUAAUCCUCCUGCCUCAGCAGCCCCUCCAAGUGCUGGGUCUAUCCAGGUCCAGUUAUGGGGCUGGAGAGAUGGCUCAGUGAUUAAGAGCACUGGCCAUUCUUCCUGAGGACCUGGGUUCAGUUCCCAGCACCCACUUAGUGGCUCACAACCAUCUGUAACUCCAGUCCCUAGGGAGCCAACACACUCUUCUGGCCUCUGGGUAGACCAGGCACAUACUUGCUACACAGAUAUACAAUCAGAGAAGACAUCCAUACACAUAAAAUAAUUUUAAAUAAAUAAAUAGACCUUAAAAGUGUUUGUUUGUUUGUUUUCUAAAAAUCAGCUAUGGGAUUAGAGAGAUGGCUCAGUGGUUAAGAGCACUGGCUGCUCUUGCAGAGGACGUAGGUUCAGUUCCCAACACUUACCUGACAGCCCACAGCUACCUGUAACUCUAGUUCCAGGGGCUCUGAUGCCCUCUUCUGGUCUCCACAGACCCCAGUCACUUAAAUGUUAUAUCUGCAUGCAUGCAGGCACCCACACGUGCAAAAUAAAAUGAUUU
rnacentral:lncRNA from 1 species